AGUUGGAGUCCUUGAAUUAGUCAUAAAGGUAUAUGGUGCAGAGAUAACCAUGAGGUUUGCCUAGAAGUAGCCACCCUUGAAAGAGUGCGUAAUAGCUCACCGAUCGAGCGCUCUUGUGCUGAAGACGAAGGGGGCUAAACGAUCUACCGAAGCU
rnacentral:rRNA from 1 species